rnacentral:rRNA from 1 species
AUUGAACGCUGGCGGCAGGCCUAACACAUGCAAGUCGGGCGAGUGGCGGACGGGUGAGUAAUGUAUGGGAAACUGCCUGAUGGAGGGGGAUAACUACUGGAAACGGUAGCUAAUACCGCAUACCAUCAGAUGUACCCAUAUGGGAUUAGCUGGUAGGUAAGGUAACGGCUUACCUAGGCGACGAUCCCUAGCUGGUCUGAGAGGAUGAUCAGCCACACUGGGACUGAGACACGGCCCAGACUCCUACGGGAGGCAGCAGUGGGGAAUAUUGCACAAUGGGGGCAACCCUGACGCAGCCAUGCCGCGUGAAUGAAGAAGGCCUUCGGGUUGUAAAGUUCUUUCGGUAGCGAGGCGUUAACUACAGAAGAAGCACCGGCUAACUCCGUGCCAGCAGCCGCGGGAAUUC